rnacentral:rRNA from 1 species
CCUACGGGGGGCAGCAGUCGAGAAUCAUUCACAAUGGGGGAAACCCUGAUGGUGCGACGCCGCGUGGGGGAAUGAAGGUCUUCGGAUUGUAAACCCCUGUCAUGUGGGAGCAAAUUAAAAAGAUAGUACCACAAGAGGAAGAGACGGCUAACUCUGUGCCAGCAGCCGCGGUAAUACAGAGGUCUCAAGCGUUGUUCGGAAUCACUGGGCGUAAAGCGUGCGUAGGCUGUUUCGUAAGUCGUGUGUGAAAGGCGCGGGCUCAACCCGCGGACGGCACAUGAUACUGCGAGACUAGAGUAAUGGAGGGGGAACCGGAAUUCUCGGUGUAGCAGUGAAAUGCGUAGAUAUCGAGAGGAACACUCGUGGCGAAGGCGGGUUCCUGGACAUUAACUGACGCUGAGGCACGAAGGCCAGGGGAGCGAAAGGGAUUAGAUACCC